GCUGCGAUGUCCGAGUGGUUAAGGAGUUUGACUCGAAAUCAAAUGGGCUCUGCCCGCACAGGUUCGAAUCCUGUUCGCAGCG
rfam:Agrilus planipennis Contig38969, whole genome shotgun sequence.